CUUGAAUGUGUUUUUACUGAAAAAAUCAUUCAUAAAUUAACAUACAAAAAUGUACAAACACAUGAGUAAAUAAUGUAAUGACAAAGGACUACUCUUGUGAAAAGUGUUUAAAACAUCCGUAGAUUUCAGUGCAAAAAUGUACCCCCGGCACCUCUUAAAACAUGAAGGCAAGCUCAAAACCUAGCGCUGGAUGAGCGGCCGCGCCCCGUGCCGCCACGCCCCGCCCGUCUGCGGAGAGGACGCUCGCGAGGGUCUGCGCCUGUCAAAAUGAGGAUUCUGUAAACACCCCAAAAACGAAAAUGCAUGAAGGGCCGCGCCCUGGCCACCCAGCAGUGGACCUGAGGGAUUCUGCCACCCAACGCGUGAAUCUGAGCUUCUGUUCCUUUUGCUUAAACGCGUGUUUUUCAGUCUGCACAGCUCGCGUGCGGGCCGGGUGCCCUGCUGCGGUACUGAACUUGGGCCGCGCACGCCGUGCAGGCUCGCCUAAGAGGUUCAGAGGUUCCGUUGGGGCGGCUGCUCCUGUGCUCACUUUGCAAAGACGCGAAGAAUGGGGGAGGCGGGCGAAGGCCGAGUGUCCACUGGGGUCACGACGCCCCGAACCGCAGCCCCAUCGCCCUGGCCGGCAGACGCGGCCUUCCCAGAGCCACCCAGCUGCGGCUCUCCGGCGUUCGGGGUGCCAGGGCAGGAUGGCAUGGAGGGGCGGGGGACAUGACGUUUAUUGCUAUGCACACCCUAAGACGAAGGAAGAGCGAGUGGCGUGAGCGUUUGGAAGCGUGAAAGGCUCCGGCGUCCUCCAGGGCAGCGCCGCCCUGUCAGCCCAGCCGCGGCGUUCCCGCAGCGCGCCCGGGGCUCCGGAGCGAGCGCAGGCCGGGCCGGUCCCCCCCGCUCUGGGGGUCAUACGUCCACAGACCCACGCGUGCAGCCGGAAGCCGCCGCCCACGUCCACAUGCCCACACACGCCCGUGUAAACCAUGAAAAUCAAAUGAGGUCGAAGGCAAACAAGGCAAUUAAAAAAAAAUAUGAAGCACUCCAGAAAGUACUCCAAAUCACAAUAUAUAAAUACGCCUUACGGAAAAGGAGGGGCAAGUCUAGCAUGUUCCGGAAUCCUGAAGAAGAGGCUGGCGGGAGCGGAGGGCUUUGGCUCAGGGGAAGAGGCACAAGUUCAAACGCAGUGCGCAAUCCGACUCCGGACGCGGAGGAGGGCUCUGUGGGCAUCCAGGUCACGGCGAGACCCGUCCACCCGGACCAGCCGACUCGGCACUGUCACCCGAGCCUCGCUGUGCGCUCGUCCCUGGGGGACGGAGUGGAGGCUGCGGCGAGGGAUCUUUCCAGAAGUCUGAGAAGGGCCCAGGGAUGGCUGAGGCGGGUGAGCAGAGGAUCACCCCAAACACUCCUGCUCUCCCCAACACGCGGGGGCCCAGGAGCUGGCUGUGCACAGUUCCACACAGGUCCUGUUUCGUUUUUGGAGACGCGGCGUGAACAGCGCAGACUGGCCUCACUCCCCGUCCUCCCAGCUCAGCCUCCAAGCGCUGGGACUCCAGGCGUGCACCGCCACACCGGCUCCCGGGGCCUGCCGCUCUGAGCACACUACGCGGUGCUCCUCAGUAGCUGCCCCCGUUUAGGAGGAGGGGGAGAGAGGUGUGGCCGCAGGAGCCAAGGAUGCCACAGGGACGCCAUGGGACGGCAGGAGGAAGGGAGAGGAGGUCUGUCACCUGGACCACUCCCUUCCAAGUGACAGUGGAGGGAGCGGCGCAUCCUCCUGGCCUCACCGCAACUCACACGAGUGAUCUGAUGCGUAAAGCUUUGCUGUGAAUGGGAGCCAGCUAUAAAAUUAAAUCUUACAAAGGCAUUUACACGCUAUGUACAGUUAGACUUCUUCAAGAAGCGAAGCUGAGUGUGUAACUCAG